rnacentral:rRNA from 1 species
AGAGUUUGAUCCUGGCUCAGAUUGAACGCUGGCGGCAGUCCUAACACAUGCAAGUCGAGCGGUAGCACAGAGAGCUUGCUCUCGGGUGACGAGCGGCGGACGGGUGAGUAAUGUCUGGGAAACUGCCUGAUGGAGGGGGAUAACUACCGGAAACGGUAGCUAAUACCGCAUAACGUCGCAAGACCAAAGUGGGGGACCUUCGGGCCUCAUGCCAUCAGAUGUGCCCAGAUGGGAUUAGCUAGUAGGUGGGGUAAUGGCUCACCUAGGCGACGAUCCCUAGCUGGUCUGAGAGGAUGACCAGCCACACUGGAACUGAGACACGGUCCAGACUCCUACGGGAGGCAGCAGUGGGGAAUAUUGCACAAUGGGGGAAACCCUGAUGCAGCAACGCCGCGUGAGUGAAGAAGGUCUUCGGAUCGUAAAGCUCUGUCUUUGGGGACGAUAAUGACGGUACCCAAGGAGGAAGCCACGGCUAACUACGUGCCAGCAGCCGCGGUAA